rnacentral:lncRNA from 1 species
CCUAUUAGCAUUCCUUCCCCGAAGGCCAGCGGGGAUGGUUUAGGAAGCUGGUAUUCAAAAAUCCCAAGUGUCUCCAAGUGGCAGCAGGUGCUGUUCAUACAGGGACUCAAUCCAUGGAGGGAAAGCAAGCCUUUCCUCGCAAACGGAGGGCUAGAAAGUGCCCUUCCAACGCCUCCCAGGGGGCUUGGAGCAUCACUUGGCGGCAAUCAGAGCAGGGGUAGGAUUCGGUUUUAUCUCCAGAGAACCAGCUCUGCAGAGCGCCCCAGCGCGCAUCAGAUUCGCGAUCACAGCUCCUCAACGCUCCCGAACGCCGAUUCCAUGCCCAGUGUGGAGCCCAAUGCAGAGCUUAUUCAUGACCUUGAGAUCAAGACCUCAGCUGAGAUCAAGAGUUGGACACCUGACUGACUGAGCCAUCCAGGUACCUCCAUGAUACCUAUAUUUCUAUCACUUUUUAAAUUUCUUCAUCUGUCAAAGAACACUUAGAUUUCUAUACAUUGGCUAUUAUGAGUAACUCUGCAAUGGACAUGGGAAUGUGGAUGUCUUUUCAGGAUAGUGAUUUUAUCUACUCUGGAUAUAUAUCCAGAAGUGGGAUUGCUGGCUCUCCUAUAGUAGUUCUAUUUUUCAUUUUUUGACGAACCUUUCUCAUAUUUCAUUGAUUAGAAUUGGAUUACAUGAUUACAUAUUAAUCCCCCUCAUAAGAGGAACAAGGUUUCUUAAUCUUGGCAGUAGUAGCAUUUUGUACCGAGUAAUUGUUGUGAAGGGCUAUGCUGUGCAUUAUAGGAUGUUCAAUGGCAUCUCUGUUUUUUUUAUCCAGUAGCACCCUCCCACCAGUUGUGAAAACCAAAAUGUCCCUGGACAUUGCAAAAUGUCCCCUGGG